rnacentral:rRNA from 1 species
UACAGAGGGGGGCAAGCGUUAUUCGGAAUUAUUGGGCGUAAAGGGCGCGUAGGCGGCUUGGCAAGUGGAUGGUGAAAUCCCUCGGCUUAACCGAGGAACUGCCGUCCAAAACUGCUUCGCUUGAGACCGGGAGAGGUGAGUGGAAUUCCCAGUGUAGCGGUGAAAUGCGUAGAUAUUGGGAGGAACACCAGUGGCGAAGGCGGCUCACUGGACCGGUACUGACGCUGAUGCGCGAAAGCGUGGGGAGCAAACGGG